rnacentral:rRNA from 1 species
UACGUAGGGGGUAAGCGUUAUCCGGAUUUACUGGGUGUAAAGGGGGCGCAGACGGCAGCGCAAGCCAGGAGUGAAAGCCCGGGGCCCAACCCCGGGACUGCUCUUGGAACUGCGCGGCUGGAGUGCAGGAGGGGCAGGCGGAAUUCCUGGUGUAGCGGUGAAAUGCGUAGAUAUAUGGAGGAACACCGGUGGCGAAAGCGGCUCUCUGGCCUGUAACUGACACUGAGGCUCGAAAGCGUGGGUAGCAAACAGG